UACGGAGGGUGCAAACGUUGCUCGGAAUCAUUGGGCGUAAAGCGCACGUAGGCGGUCUUUUAAGUCGGGGGUGAAAUCCUGGAGCUCAACUCCAGAACUGCCUUCGAUACUGGAAGACUCGAGUCCGGGAGAGGUGAGUGGAACUGCGAGUGUAGAGGUGAAAUUCGUAGAUAUUCGCAAGAACACCAGUGGCGAGGGCGGCUCACUGGCCCGGUACUGACGCUGAGGUGCGAAAGCGUGGGGAGCAAACAGG
rnacentral:rRNA from 1 species